UGCGCCGCAGGAGAUGGCGUUCCUCCUUUAACCACCGUGCGAUCCGCAUGGUUGAUGACGCCUACAGCCGC
rnacentral:ncRNA from 2 species